AACGCUGGCGGCGUGCCUAACACAUGCAAGUCGAACGAGAAAGGGGAGCUAUCCCUGAGUACAGUGGCGACCGGGUGAGUAACACGUGACUAACCUACCUUCGAGUGGGGGAUAACUCCGGGAAACCGGAGCUAAUACCGCAUAACAUCUCAAGAUCAAAGCAGCAAUGCGCUUGAAGAGGGGGUCGCGGCUGAUUAGCUAGUUGGCGGGGUAAUGGCCCACCAAGGCGAAGAUCGGUAUCCGGCCUGAUAGGGCGCACGGACACACUGGAACUGAAACACGGUCCAGACUCCUACGGGUGGCAGCAGUGGGGAAUUUUGCGCAAUGGGGGAAACCCUGACGCAUCAACUCCGCGUGGAGGAUGAAGCCCCUUGGGGCGUAAACUCCUUUCGACCAAGAUGAUAAUGACGGUACUGGUGGAAGAAGCACCGGCUAACUCUGUGCCAGCAUCCGCGGUAAUU
rnacentral:rRNA from 1 species